rnacentral:rRNA from 1 species
AUGGUCAAGUGCGAGCAGAGGAAGAUGAGAGGGGGAGGGAGAUGCUACCUGCCGUGGUGGGUCGUCGUGGACGAGCUUGAGCUCGGCAGGACCUCUUGGUCACCCUAUGAGCAGAGGAGCAAACCCCAGAUCAGUGUUCAUCCACGGCUGCCAGAUCGGGUCGAAACGAAGAGAGAAGGGGAAGGGAAGGGAUACCUUGAGGAUCGACUCGAAUCAGCGGCGGCGCCUUCCUGGUAG